GAGACCAAGCGUUUCACAUUGCAACACAAGCACCGGUAACCAUAACAGAAUGAACAACAGCCAGCAGAGGAGAGGAUGGCGGUGUUUCCACCCCUCCCGGCCGGCGAGGAGAGCUCAUUCCUGGGCUGGAGCCGGCCCUCAGCACCCCGCCACAGGCUCUAACAGAUGCUGGCGGUGUUUGAAACCCUCCCAGCGGGACAGGGGAACUCAUUCCUGUGUGGGUCGGAGUCGGCCCGCAGCAGCGUGGUGUAGCCUACAUAUUUUGUUAUAUAAGUCGCUCCGGAGUAUAAGUAGCAGGACCUGCCAGAAAAUGUAAAAAAGUGCGAGUUAUAGUCCGGAAAAUAUUGCAGUUAUUAGUAUUCGAGCUAAAUUAGCAGCGUAAAUACAUUUCAUAUAUUUCCAAAAUGUUAUACUUGUUUGUAUCUUGUACAGCCAACUAGUCUUUAUUCUGGACUCAGUACAAUUUACCAAAAGUAAAGAGACAUUCUACAGAUGAAGUAAGCACAAGAUAACUUACUGGAAGACACGGAAUUAUCAUCAGAACCAGAACAAGAGAGCCUGAUAACAGUCGUGAAAAUAACAGUUAAAAAGUAUGUAUGUAUAAUAGAAAUAAAAAUAUAUUAGAAUUAGUGUAACUCACUGUGAUCCAAACAAUAAAUCAGCCAUAGCUGAUUAGUAAAUAUGACAUGAGGUCUGGGAGUUUUUAAUUUUCAUUUUUAUUUUUUUGUUAGAUCUGUUUAAAUGUCACCAUGGCAGCCUGUGUGUCUCCAACAUCAGCUACACAAAGCAGCAAGUCCAUUUGGAUCAUUGGAGACAGCUGAGUGAGGCGUGGUGCCCAGAGAGCUGCAGAGACAACCUUGGCCUCCCUGACGUCUGUGUCUCCUGGUUCGGUUGGGGCGGACCAUCGACAUACAUACAUGUGCCGACACUUUGCGCCCUGUUUUAUAAACUGUAGUGUUAAAAAUAAAUGUUUUUGCUCAA